rnacentral:rRNA from 1 species
UACGAAGGGGACUAGCGUUGUUCGGAAUUACUGGGCGUAAAGCGCACGUAGGCGGAUUUGUUAGUCAGGGUGAAAUCCCGGGGCUCAACCUCGGAACUGCCUUUGAUACUGCAAGUCUCGAGUCCGAUAGAGGUGGGUGGAAUUCCUAGUGUAGAGGUGAAAUUCGUAGAUAUUAGGAAGAACACCGGUGGCGAAGGCGGCCCACUGGAUCGGUACUGACGCUGAGGUGCGAAAGCGUGGGGAGC